GACGAGCCACCGCCUAAUCGUCGCGAGGCGAGCCGGGGACCCAGGUACCCGGGGUGAAGCCGUGAACCAGCGGCCGGGCGAGCUUCCCGCCCGAACCCGUCAGCUAACCCGGUCGGCGGCCGAGUGGGAAGAA
rfam:Actinoplanes regularis strain DSM 43151 genome assembly, contig: Ga0170398_107